GGUGAGAGUGAGGGACUGUGAGGAGAGGAGGGAACUGAAGUUCUCAUCAGGACAUAAAGUUAAUUAAUUAACUAACUAAUUAAUUAAUUAAUGGAAAAAUAAAGAAAAAGAAAAAUAACAUCUACUCAAUGUAUAAGCAACGUAUUGACUGAAGAAAAUAAUCUCAUCAGCAACCAGACUUUCUAGUCCAAUGCUCAGUCAUAAAUUUGUGAGUCAUGUUUCUUCUGCCUCGAGUAGUUCUGACUUCUGGACAGAUUAGCUCAGCUGUAUCACACAAUCAUUUGAAUCAAGUACUAUUUGAUUCAAACACGUGGAUCCAUUAUUAUGAAAAUCAACAAUACUUGAUAAUUUUUUUUUAUAAAAAGAAAUAAAGUAAAUGCUACUGAGCUACUAAUUGAGCAGGACUGGGAAAAAUCUACUGUAUAUUUAAGUGUUAUGCAUACUAAAUUAUUUUACAAAUAUCAACAUGUUUAAAAAUAAAAUACAGGGAUAGAUAAAAUAAGUAUGUGUAUCCUUCCUGGUUUCAGGGGUGGGGAUGAGGUUCUAAAAGUCAGGUUAAAGAUUAUGUUUCUCAGUAUCACUUCUGUAGUUCAUUAAAAAUUAGAAUAACUCAAGAAUGUCUAAUUUUAGUAGAGGUAUUGCUUAGAAAAUUUCGGUUUCCUAUGGAAAUAAUUAUGUCUUGUUAACAUCAUAUUAAAUUAUUUUAAAUCUAUCCAUAUUUUAGGUCAUGACCCUUGUAAUUAAGAAAUUCUUGAAGACAAUAUUCAGGAGAAAAUGUGAUUUGAGUCUGGAGACAAUUGUGUAUGUAAGUAUUUGGAAAUUAGAUUUUCCAGGGGUGAAAUCUAAUUAACAACUAAAAUAUCAUUAAAAUUUUUUUAUUCAUUUAAAUUUUUUAUUAUUAGAUAUUUUCUUUAUUUACAGUUCAAAUAUUAUCCCCUUUCCUGGUUUCCCCUCCAAAAACCCCCUACCCCUACCUGUUCUCCCCUCCCCCUGCUCACCAACCCACCCAUUCCUGCUUCCUGGCCCUGGCAUUCCCCUAGACUGGGGCAUAGAACCUUCACAGGACCAAGGGCCUCUCCUCCCAUUGAUGACCAACUAGAUCAUCCUCUGCUACAUAUGCAGCUGGAGCCAUGAGUCCCACCAUGUGUUUUCUUUGGUUGGUGGCUUAGUCCCAGGGAAAAUAAUCAAUUUGUUAGUUACUAAACUGCAGAAAAUUUGCUUCACAUUUUUCAAUCUAGCACUAUUUUUUAAGAUGUAAGAUUAAUAGAAUCCUUCCUGAUUUUCAGGUAUACUUUUCUUAAGAUAUUAAAAAACAAAUCCAAGGUCACAGGUUGCUUAUUGAUAGAAGAGAAACAAUACGGAUAGAAGAGAAAUCAGAAAAUUGCUUAUGAUUGACAAGAACAGCUGCAGCAGCUACCUAGGUGAGUCACAGCGGGCAACCAGCGGAGCAUAUUCAAUCACAAGAGUGACGGAGCGCUCUCAAUAUAUGUCACAAAAAAGCAGAAGACCUGGGGUCACGUGGAAAGGGGCUUCCUAAUUUUAUUCUGAAAAUAGCUAUGCUUUGUUUUCUGACAGAAUUCAAUCCAAGUUCAUUGUUCAGUGGUAAAUAUCUACUGAAGAGUUUUUUGGUUUCCUUUAAAAUUGAUAUUGCUACAUAUCAAUUUAAAUGUGUAUUAUGUUCAGUGGCUAUAUCAUGGCAACCACGAGAAAACUAGUGUGUUAGAAAGCAGGCUUUAGGGACAUCAGUUCCACAGAGUCUGUUUCUUAGUAUUCAGCUGGCAGAUGGUGUUUGAGAGGCCAUUUUUUACCAGCUUAGAAUGUGAUCUAAUAUUAGAUUAACAUAUGCAUGUUACUGUUCAACCCCAGAGCUUUAUUUCCACAAUGUAGAAGACUUUGAGAAUCUUUUUAUUUUCUGAUUAAUUUCUGUAUUAAUUACUUUUCUUAUCAUUUUAACAAAAUACCUAUGAGGAAACAAAUGUAAAGAGGAUUUAUCUUUGCUCACAGUUUAAAGGUUUAGGUCAGGUUGUCAAAGAAAGCAAGCACAGUACAGACUUGGACCAUGUGGUCACUCUGGGCCUACAAGAAGCGGGCUGCAAUGGCUGCUCCCAUUCUGCUUACUUUUUCUUCUUUAAUGAGUUCAUGAUCCCAGGCCACAGAAUGCUACUGUCCACAGUUGUGAAGGUCUUCCCAUAUCAACUAACCCAGUAAGAUGAUCCCUCACAGUCAUGCCCAGAGACUAACUUAAUAUGCAUAAUUCCUCACAGAUGUGUCUCCUAGGUGAUUCAAAAUCUGUUUUAGAAUUCGGGUAGAAUUAUAACAGAUAUUUUCUUUUGAAGCAUAUGUUAGUUUCAUGAGUAUUGAACUUUAUUUAUUUCAUUUUUGUUAUAGCUUGAACAUACAGCACAUUUCAUUUGGACUCUAAUAAUGGAUAAAAAGCAUAUACUAUGUUUUCUGGUUCUCUUGCCUCUUAAUAUGGUAAGUACUCACCCUACAUAUUUAUUCAUUAGUUAUGACUAUGUUUUAUUUACAACAUGCAUCUUAUUGGUAAAAGUUAAUAAGGACAAGCUAAAGUAGUUGUUGAUGAGUAAGUUGAUUUCAUUUUUUAUAUCCAAUUAAUACGGCAAUAAUCCACUUCCUUUUAGUAUUUUUUUUAUACUUUGAACUUUUUAACCAAUAUGGUUUGUUGGGUCCUUGGAAGGAGGUUGGGAUAUCAGUGGAUUCAAAUAUGCAAAACUCAAAAGUGAUAAAGUUGGAAAAAUACUGGAAUGAUGCUUUAUAGUAGUACAAAUAUACACAGCACAUAAAAUAUGUUUACAGAAACACAUAGAUUCAGAAUUAUCUUUGAAAAAAUCAUAUUCUAGUCUUUAAAAUUUUUAUUUUGAUCUACCAAUUGAUUGGCAUUUAUCAAUUAAAAAUAACUAGGAGACGUACUGCGUUUUAUAUUGGUUUACUCAUUCAUUAAUAAAUCACUCAUUCAAAUAGAUUUUGAUGCUAAAUUUUGGGCAAAUAUGUCUCCAUAUGUGUGCACGCAUCCAUGUGCACCUUUACAUGCAUGUGCCAGAGAUGUGAAGCCAGAGGAUUAACAAAGCCCAAAGAGCUACCCGCUUCAUAGUUACUUCUUAUUUGUAGUUUUGUUUCUCUUCAUCUUUUUCUCUGCAUUGAAUUAAAGCAAUCAAUAUUGCUCUUCUCUUUAUACAUAGAAGAAACCCAGAGACACACUCUCAUCUAAUUCUGUGCCAGCAACUAACUUUCCUGUGGUGUUUCCAAGCAAAACCCUCAGAAGGAC
rnacentral:lncRNA from 1 species